UACCCAGCCACCACUUGAGCUGUAAGGUGU
rnacentral:piRNA from 1 species